CCUACGGGGGGCAGCAGUGAGGAAUAUUGGUCAAUGGACGAGAGUCUGAACCAGCCAAGUAGCGUGAAGGAUGACUGCCCUAUGGGUUGUAAACUUCUUUUAUAUGGGAAUAAAAUGUUCCACGUGUGGGAUUUUGUAUGUACCAUAUGAAUAAGGAUCGACUAACUCCGUGCCAGCAGCCGCGGUAAUACGGAGGAUCCGAGCGUUAUCCGGAUUUAUUGGGUUUAAAGGGUGCGUAGGUGGAUUGUUAAGUCAGUUGUGAAAGUUUGCGGCUCAACCGUAAAAUUGCAGUUGAAACUGGCAGUCUUGAGUACAGUAGAGGUGGGCGGAAUUCGUGGUGUAGCGGUGAAAUGCUUAGAUAUCACGAAGAACUCCGAUUGCGAAGGCAGUUCACUGGACUGCAACUGACACUGAGGCUCGAAAGUGUGGGUAUCAAACAGGAUUAGAUACCCUAGUAGUC
rnacentral:rRNA from 1 species